GGUACGGGCCAUGGGAGUGGUAGCCCGGAGAUGGAUUCUGAGACACGAAUCCAGGCCCUACGGGGCGCAGCAGGCGCGAAAACUUCGCAAUGCGCGAAAGCGCGACGAGGGGAUUCCAAGUGCAUGCACUCAGUGUAUGCUGUUUUCCAGUCUAAAUAGCUGGGAGAGUAAGGGCUGGGUAAGACUGGUGCCAGCCGCCGCGGUAAUACCAGCGGCCCUAGUGGUGAUCGUUAUUAUUGGGCCUAAAGCGUCCGUAGCCGGCUCGGUAAAUCUCUGGGUAAAUCGAUAGGCUUAACUUAUCGAAUUCUGGGGAGACUGCCGGGCUUGGGACCGGGAGAGGUCGGAGGUACUCCAGGGGUAGGGGUGAAAUCCUGUAAUCCUUGGGGGACCACCGGUGGCGAAGGCGUCCGACCAGAACGGGUCCGACGGUUAGGGACGAAGCCCUGGGGCGCAAACCGGAUUAGAUACCCGGGUAGUCCAGGGUGUAAACGCUGUGCGCUUGGUGUUGGGGGUCCUACGAGGGCACCCAGUGCCGGAGAGAAGUUGUUAAGCGCACCGCCUGGGGAGUACGGUCGCAAGACUGAAACU
rnacentral:rRNA from 1 species